CGGCGAGUGAAGCGGCAACAGCUCAAAUUUGAAAUCUGGAGCCUUUGGCUUCCGAGUUGUAAUUUGCAGAGGGAGCCUCGGAGGGCGAGACGGUCCAAGUGCCUUGGAACAGGAUACCGCAGAGGGUGAGAGUCCCGUAUCCGGCCGAUCUUGCGCUCCGUGUGAGGCCCCUUCGACGAGUCGAGUUGUUUGGGAAUGCAGCUCCAAGCGGGUGGUAAAUUCCAUCUAAAGCUAAAUACUGGCCAGAGACCGAUAGCGAACAAGUAGAGUGAUCGAAAGAUGAAAAGCACUUUGAAAAGAGAGUCAAACAGUACGUGAAAUUGUUGAAAGGGAAGCGCAUGGGGGCAGACUUGGACGCGGGGUUCAGCGUUUCUAUUGGAGCGUGUACUUCCCCGCGUGCAGGCCAGCAUCGGUUCUGGGGGCCGGACAAAGAGGUUGGGAAUGUGGCUCCCCUCGGGGAGUGUUAUAGCCCGGCGUGCAAUGCGGCC
rnacentral:rRNA from 2 species